rnacentral:lncRNA from 1 species
UUUCUGGUCUCCCACUGUUUUGCUUUAUCUACAAGCUUGGACAAAGUGGAGACCUCUACUGCCAACACCGCAUUAUAAAGCGGGGAAAUCAGACCCCGUCUGAAUCUUUCUAUCCUGGCAGCUUCAGUGAGGAUGAUGUAAGGAGCAUACCUCCCCAAUCUAGUGAACUCACGAGCGUGCUCAGCUACACUCAUUUUGGGCAUCUGCUUCAGCCUCUCAAACUGAAGAGCCCGAUUCUGCCUCUCCGCCGGAGAUAGGAACUCAUC